CCUACGGGAGGCAGCAGUGGGGGAUAUUGCACAAUGGGGGGAACCCUGAUGCAGCGACGCCGCGUGGGUGAAGAAGCGCCUCGGCGCGUAAAGCCCUGUCAGCAGGGAAGAAAAUGACGGUACCUGAAGAAGAAGCCCCGGCUAACUACGUGCCAGCAGCCGCGGUAAUACGUAGGGGGCAAGCGUUAUCCGGAUUUACUGGGUGUAAAGGGGGCGCAGACGGCGAUGCAAGCCAGGAGUGAAAGCCCGGGGCCCAACCCCGGGACUGCUCUUGGAACUGCGUGGCUGGAGUGCAGGAGGGGCAGGCGGAAUUCCUGGUGUAGCGGUGAAAUGCGUAGAUAUCAGGAGGAACACCGGCGGCGAAGGCGGCCUGCUGGACUGCGACUGACGUUGAGGCUCGAAAGCGUGGGGAGCGAACAGGAUUAGAUACCCCGGUAGUC
rnacentral:rRNA from 1 species